UACGAACCGUCCAAACGUUAUUCGGAAUUACUGGGCUUAAAGGGUACGUAGGCGGCGCUGUCAGUCGGGUGUGAAAUCCCACGGCUCAACCGUGGAAUUGCGCCCGAUACUGCAGUGCUUGAGGGAGACAGAGGUAAGCGGAACUGAUGGUGGAGCGGUGAAAUGCGUUGAUAUCAUCAGGAACACCAGUGGCGAAAGCGGCUUACUGGGUCUCUUCUGACGCUGAGGUGCGAAAGCGUGGGGAGCAAACAGG
rnacentral:rRNA from 1 species